rnacentral:rRNA from 1 species
GUAGGGUGCAAGCGUUAUCCGGAAUCAUUGGGCGUAAAGAGCUCGUAGGCGGUUCAGCAAGUCGGCUGUGAAAUCCCGAGGCUUAACCUCGGAACUGCAGUCGAUACUGCUGUGACUAGAGUCCGGUAGAGGAGAAUGGAAUUCCCGGUGUAGCGGUGAAAUGCGCGGAUAUCGGGAGGAACACCAGUAGCGAAGGCGGUUCUCUGGGCCGGUACUGACGCUGAGGAGCGAAAGCGUGGGUAGCAAACAGGAUUAGAUACCCUGGUAGUCCACGCCGUAAACGUUGGACACUAGGUGUGGCGUUCCGACCAACGGGUGCCCGUGCCGAAGCUAACGCAUUAAGUGUCCCCGCCUGGGGAGUACGGCCGCAAGGCUA